rnacentral:rRNA from 1 species
AUUGAACGCUGGCGGCAGGCCUAACACAUGCAAGUCGAACGAGUGGCGGACGGGUGAGUAAUGUCUGGGAAACUGCCUGAUGGAGGGGGAUAACUACUGGAAACGGUAGCUAAUACCGCAUACCAUCGGAUGUGCCCAGAUGGGAUGAGCUAGUAGGUGGGGUAACGGCUCACCUAGGCGACGAUCCCUAGCUGGUCUGAGAGGAUGACCAGCCACACUGGAAGUGAGACACGGUCCAGACUCCAACGGUAGGCAGCAGGGGGGAAUAGUGCACAAUGGGCGCAAGCCUGAUGCAGCCAUGCCGCGUGUAGGAAGAAGGCCUUCGGGUGGUAAAGUACUUUCAGCGGGGAGGCGUUACCCGCAGAAGAAGCACCGGCUAACUCCGUGCCAGCAGCCGCGGUAAUUC